rnacentral:lncRNA from 1 species
AAUGUCACAAUUCCUGUUUGCCCAGUGGAUCAUUUGUAUGUUAACCACUGUAUGUAACCAACCUUAUCUGGCAACAUAAUUGCAGCACAAUAAUGAUUUGCAUGAUACCUUGAAAUUUGGGGGGAGGGGGCAUGCCAACUUGGGCAUCACUUUGUCUUAGCAAUUAAUGGGAUAUUGAUUACUAAAAUAAGUUAAUAUUAAGCAAGGUGCCGGUUGUACAAUCUCUAAUUUGAUCAGUGUCUCUCAGCACUUUGAGCAUUUACUUAGCUCAUCUAGUCUUCCUUUCAUAGCGCAUGGUUGGGCGGAAAAAGUGCAUGCAUCUUUCCUUCACUCCUCUUUUCCCACCCCCUCCCUUUGCACAUAGGUAUUUGGUUUGCUUCCAUCUUUUAUGCAGUGCCUGGUUUAUUUAACCAAUUAAUAUCACUUUUGUUGAUGAGCUAUUGAGAGCUGCAGUAGUUUGCUUUUAGUAUUGUUGUUGCACUUGAGUAGAGACAAACCUUUUAUCACAGUGUCCACAGGACAUACAAGUGCAACU